rnacentral:rRNA from 1 species
AUGACCCUGCAUAGGACUUCCAUAACAGAUGAUGACUUCGAAAUCAUUGGCCUGCUCACAUGCUUGUCUGGGCUUAGGCUCCGACAAGAGUCAUGCAAUGAGAGUACACUCACCUUCAAAAAAGAUGCAUUUCAGAGUCUUGAGUUCCUUGACGUUGAAUGCUCAGCCAUUACCUGUAUCAACUUUGACAAUGAGGCCUGUCCUAAGCUGAAGAAGUUAGUUUGGUAUUCUACUCGCGAACAGUCUCUUUCUGGGAUUGAGCGCCUUCCAGCACUCCAAGAACUCAAGCUGACAGGCAGAUUUGACGAGCAAAGUGUGAUGGAAGCAGUUAACGCAAGCAAGAACAUUAUUUUGUUUAAUCACUAG